GACGAACGCUGGCGGCGUGCUUAACACAUGCAAGUCGAACGCUGAAGCACCAGCUUGCUGGUGUGGAUGAGUGGCGAACGGGUGAGUAAUACGUGAGUAACCUGCCCUUGACUCUGGGAUAAGCCCGGGAAACUGGGUCUAAUACUGGAUGCUACACGUCACCGCAUGGUGGUGUGUGGAAAGGGUUUACUGGUCUUGGAUGGGCUCACGGCCUAUCAGCUUGUUGGUGAGGUAAUGGCUCACCAAGGCGACGACGGGUAGCCGGCCUGAGAGGGUGACCGGCCACACGGGGACUGAGACACGGCCCAGACUCCUACGGGAGGCAGCAGUGGGGAAUAUUGCACAAUGGGCGAAAGCCUGAUGCAGCGACGCCGCGUGAGGGAUGACGGCCUUCGGGUUGUGAACCUCUUUCAGCAGGGAAGAAGCCACAAGUGACGGUACCUGCAGAAGAAGCGCCGGCUAACUACGUGCCAGCAGCCGCAGUAA
rnacentral:rRNA from 1 species